AGCCAAGCAAGGAAGAGAGGGAAAGAAAGGAACUAGGUGAAGAAUUUCAAGAGAAAAAUGUGGGAAAUUCAAGGAAACAAGUGACAAAAGGUAAAAUUUCUUGAUUUUGACUUGUGAUCUACCUUUCCCAUGCAUUUUUCCUUAUUUUUCAUGGUGAAAUUACAUGUUUUCAUAAUGAAUUCAUGGCUGGUCAAAAUGGGUAAGGAGAGAGAAAGAUGUUGGAUUGAUUUGAUUUUAAGAUAUGUUAGUGUUUUUAGUUAGUUUAGCAUAUUUAGAAGCAAAACAACAAGAAAAGAAUCCAUUUUCUCCAUGAAUCUUCAUUGGUCGAAUCUUCCUUGAUGUGUGUGGGUGAUGGAUUGUUAUUAUUUCAAGAGAAAUGGCUUAGAAAAUGAUGAAUAAUGGUGAGAAAAUUAAGUAGGAAAAAUCACGAUGUUAGUGCACUGUAAUGGUCGAAUUUUUCCAUGAAGAAAUGGGAGGGUUUUGAUGCUGAAAUUGAUGUUAUUAGAAUUGUAUUUAGUGAAUUGAGAUAUUAGAAAUGAAAUGGAGCAAUUUGGAGCCAAAUCGGACACAAUUGUCAUUUAAUCGGGUAAUAGGCCGAAUUAGGUCAGCACCGCAUUUAAGUGGUAGUCGGAUAAGUUGCAUAUCAUAUCAUGCAUAUACACCGAGCUUGAAUUGAUUUUAUAAUGGUCAAGCAUUAAUGUGGUGAAUUAUGUAUUGUACAUUAUGGAUAGGUGGUGAGUAAAUUACACUGGUAAAAGUACAGAGAUUGUGCUUGAAGACUGGGAUUAAGAGUCAUCGACUCCUAGAACUGUGAGUAAACUUAUUAUCGUCUUAAUUAUCUAGAGUAGUUUUAUACAGUUGUGUGAUUUUAUGCAAAAUGGGUUUAAAUGGUAAAUUGCUAUGUUUUGGGAGAAAUUGUGGUUUUAUAAAAUGAUUUUAUGAAUUUUCUGAAAAAUUGAAUACUGAUUUUGAAAAUAAAGUAAUUGAAGACUGCCUGCUUAUGUUGUAAAUUUAUGAUUUUAAAUUGAAUGACUUAUGACAAUAUAUGAGCAUGAAUGGCUAAACUGAUUUUUGGUGUUAGAAUUUUUUGUACUGUGUAUUUAGCCUUGAGAGGCUAGGUUGCGAUAAAUUGCCAUGUCAUGCAGAAAAAUAUUUUAUAAAUUAGGUGGUAGAUAAAAUAAUCCAUAGUCACUGCAGUGGUGGGGGUUUUCGUGGAUUGCCUAUGAGAGGGGCAUGGUAACUUAGUUAUAUAUUUUCCUCCGAGGGAAGAUGUUGGAUGAAGUAUCUCUUAAGGUAAAGAUUUGAGUGCACUUCACGUGGACCACUGCGUGAGAGCUAGACUCAGCCAACGUCAAGGAAUGGUUGUGUGUCAAAUGCGAAAACAUGUUUAUGGGUAUGGGACAUUUAACAGCCUUGGCGGUCUCAGUGGGAUACCUUGACGAAGGUACCCGCGAGAAUGAUUUUGGCAGGAGCCAAGUUUUGUGAGAUAUAUAAGCCAUGUUGAUUAAUUGAGUAAACUGAAUAUUCAUGUUAUGAAACAUAUAUUGGAAAAAAAUAUUUUAAUUCGUCUCCAUUUACUCGCCUUUAGAUGGUUUAGAUGGUGUUUAUUUACUCACUGGGAUUUUAUAAUCUCACCACCCUCAUUUCCUCACAUUUCAGGCUCAGGGAAUUUCAUAGUUAGCUGACUUUGACAAGGACCUUCAUUUGGACUUGAAUCGGUAAAGGUUGUAGGUUUUCAGCUUCCGAUGCAUUUUGGUUAGUUGGGGGCCCACGUGUCACUGUAAAAGUAAUUUUAUACUUCAGUUAUCUGAUUUAUGUAUGAACAUAUUUAGCUUUUACACCAUGUUUUUGGUGGGUUUUGAUAUUUUCAAAGAAAAAUGACGAAAAUGCCCCUAUGAGUCAGAAAAUAAUAUUUUAUUGUUUUGAUUGGAAAACAACUUAUGAUUUCUUGAAAUGUGAGAUUU
rnacentral:lncRNA from 1 species